AAUGUGUGAUUGGUCGACUGUUUUUUUUUUUUAAUAUUAUUAUGUAGAGUAUAUUUCAUUCCUAAAUUCUUUCCUUGAUGUAUAGAUACAUUAAUUUUUAAUAUUUAAGAAUCGUACCUACUGCCUACACCGAUGUUCGUUGUAAAAGUGGCUUGUAUUAUAUAAGUCACAUCCUAUUUGAUAUUUAUACUAACUUACUAUGUUUACUCUUACUAUUCGUGAAUAAUUUUAGAAAAAAAAAAAAUUAAAAAAUAAUCUAAUAACUCAAAUCAUGAUAUUAAUUGACAUAAAUUAUAUAAUAAAAAUAUAUAACCGUGGGAGGGAAUUGUCUAACAUAUUAUUAGUAUAUAUUACUACACAUGUACCCCUAGCAUAGUGUGCCUUGUCAUGUUUGUUUUUGAGUACCUAUAUUGAAUGUAAGUACUGUACCCCGAUGGCCCGAUGUAUGAUUAGCCCGUAUAAAUUAUUCAACUAAUGCGAGUUUUUACAUAAUAUUUUAAUUUACAUUUUUUUUUUUAUCGUUUCCGAUGAACUAUUGACAUUAUUACCGGAAAUCAUUCCAAAUUAAAACCCUAAAACAAACCAUGUUUUUUUAGCCGUCUUAUUACUAUAUACAGGUACAACCUACGGGGACAUACGCGUCAUAUUUUGUUUUGAACUAAAUUCAAAGGGCAUUCAAGGUCAAAACCAUUGGUGUUUACCAUAAUAUCAUAAGGAAGUUGACUACCACAAUAGUAUAAUACGAGUAUAACACUAUACUAUUGUAAAGGACUAUAAUAGAAGACAAUCGACAUGAAAUAAUAAAUAUUUACUACCGCAGUUGCAGCAUUAAGUCUGUAUAGAAACUGUACAACAUACACAGAUCGUGGGCAACUUGUAACAGCAUAUAACAUAGGUCGGUGAUCGUUUGUUCCGGAAAACCUCAGCGGACAAUGGCGACAGUUUUGAGCUUUUCAUGAGGGAUAUCAAUAAAGCUGCAGUGCGCGAUUUAUAUGUAUAUACGAGAUUUCAACUGCGAUUAUUAAACGCCGAUUAUCAGCGAAUGAGCGUUGAAUACGUUGUAUAGUCAAUUCAUUUGGAUUCUAAUCAGAGUGACUAAAUUAUUUCAAAUAUUAAGUAACUACCUAUAAUAAUUUGUAAGUGAUUUAAAAACUAUUA